rnacentral:ncRNA from 1 species
GCGGCAUGCCUAAUACAUGCAAGUCGAGCGGACUUGAUGAGAAGCUUGCUUCUCUGACGGUUAGCGGCGGACGGGUGAGUAACACGUAGGCAACCUGCCUUUCAGUUUGGGAUAACUUCCGGAAACGGAUGCUAAUACCGAAUACAUCAUCUUCCGGCAUCGGAGGAUGAGGAAAGACGGCGCAAGCUGUCACUGAGAGAUGGGCCUGCGGCGCAUUAGCUAGUUGGUGGGGUAACGGCUCACCAAGGCGACGAUGCGUAGCCGACCUGAGAGGGUGAACGGCCACACUGGGACUGAGACACGGCCCAGACUCCUACGGGAGGCAGCAGUAGGGAAUCUUCCACAAUGGGCGAAAGCCUGAUGGAGCAAUGCCGC